GGCGCAAUAGCUCAGCUGGGAGAGCAGCAGACUGAAGUCAACCGAUCAUCUGAAGGUCGGGCGUUCGAUCCGCCCUUGGGCCA